rnacentral:rRNA from 1 species
AACGUAGGAGACAAACGUUAUCCGGAGUUACUGGGCGUAAAGGGCGUGUAGGUGGUUUAGUAAGUCUGGCGUGAAAUUUUUCGGCUUAACCGGGAAAGGUCGUCGGAUACUGCAGGACUAGAGGACGGUAGAGGCGUGUGGAAUUCCGGGUGUAGUGGUGAAAUGCGUAGAGAUCCGGAGGAACACCAGUGGCGAAGGCGACACGCUGGGCCGUACCUGACACUGAUGCGCGACAGCAUGGGGAGCAAACAGG